rnacentral:tRNA from 1 species
GGGGGUAUGGCUCAGUGGUGGAGGAGGCGCUUAGCAAACAGGAGGGCCUGGGUUCAACCCCCAGUCCCUCCA